rnacentral:tRNA from 1 species
GCCGAAGUGGCGAAAUUGGUAGACGCACUGGACUCAAAAUCCAGCGGUGGCAACACCGUCCCGGUUCGACUCCGGGCUUCGGCA